rnacentral:tRNA from 1 species
GGCAAUGUAGCUCAGUGGUAGAGCACAUUCUUGACAUGCAAAAGGUCCUGGAUUCAAUCCCCAGCAGCCCCA